rnacentral:rRNA from 1 species
UGGUCAAGUUAUUAAGGGUGCAGGGCGGAUGCCUUGGCACUAGGAGCCGAUGAAGGACGUGAUAAGCUGCGAUAAGCUUCGGGGAGUUGCACGUAAACUUUGAUCCGAAGAUUUCCGAAUGAGGAAACUCACUUAGAGUAAUGUCUAAGUAUCAUUAAGUGAAUACAUAGCUUAAUGAGGGGAACUCAGGGAACUGAAACAUCUAAGUACCUGAAGGAAGAGAAAGAAAUUCGAUUCCGUAAGUAGCGGCGAGCGAACGCGGAUUAGCCCAAACCAAUAAAGUUUUCUUUAUUGGGGUUGCGGACAUAUCAUAACGAAGAGGUAUCGUAAUUGAAGAGGUUUGGAAAGACCCACCACAGAAGGUAAUAGUCCUGUAUGUUAAACGAGAAGACUUUAGAUAUGAUCCAGAGUACCACGGGACACGUGAAACCCUGUGGGAAGCAGGAGGGACCACCCUCCAAGGCUAAAUACUACCUAGUGACCGAUAGCGUAUAGUACCGUGAGGGAAAGGUGAAAAGAACCCCGGGAGGGGAGUGAAAUAGAACCUGAAACCCUGCACUUACAAGCUGUGGAAGCACAUUUCUUGUGUGACCGCGUACUUUUUGUAGAACGGGCCAACGAGUUACGUUAAGUAGCAAGGUUAAGCACUUAAGGUGCGGAGCCGUAGCGAAAGCGAGUUUUAACUGAGCGUUCAGUUACUUGACGUAGACCCGAAACCGGGCGACCUACCCAUGAGCAGGAUGAAGCGAAAGUAAAAUUUCGUGGAGGUCCGAACCCACGAGCGUUGAAAAGCUCGGGGAUGACUUGUGGGUAGCGGUGAAAUUCCAAUCGAGCCCGGAGAUAGCUGGUUCUCCCCGAAAUAGCUUUAGGGCUAGCCUCAAGGUGAGAGAUACGGAGGUAGAGCACUGAAUGUCCUAGGGGGUAUUGCACCUACCGAAGACUAUCAAACUCCGAAUGCCGUCAUCUUAUACUUGGGAGUCAGACUGUGGGUGAUAAGAUUCAUAGUCGAAAGGGCAACAGCCCAGAUCGUCAGCUAAGGUCCCUAAAUGUAAGUUAAGUGGUAAAGGAUGUGGGAUUGCACAGACAACCAGGAUGUUGGCUUAGAAGCAGCCACUCAUUCAAAGAGUGCGUAAUAGCUCACUGGUCGAGUGAUCCUGCGCCGAAGAUUUCCGGGGCUAAAACUUACUACCGAAGCUACGGCAUCAGUAAUGAUGGGUAGGGGAGCUUCCCAUACGGGUUGAAGCAUGACCGUAAGGACAUGUGGACAGUAUGGGAGUGAGAAUGUUGGCAUGAGUAGCGAGAUGUGGGUGAGAAUCCCACAGGCCGUAAACCCAAGGUUUCCAGGGGAAGGUUCGUCCGCCCUGGGUUAGUCGGGACCUAAGCUGAGGCCGAAAGGCGUAGGUGAUGGACAACAGGUUGAUAUUCCUGUACUACCGAUAACCGUUUGAGAGAAGGGAUGACACAGUAGGAUAAGCUAAGCACACUGUUGGUUAUGUGUGCCCAAGCAUUGAGGCAGUCAAAGUAGGCAAAUCCGCUUUGAUAAUGCUGGGAUGUGAUGGGGAGCGAAAUUUAGUAGCGAAGUAGCUGAUUUCACACUGUCAAGAAAAGUCUCUAUCGAGGUUAAAGGUACCCGUACCGCAAACCGACACAGGUGGGUGAGGAGAGUAUCCUAAGGCCAGCGAGAGAACUGUUGUUAAGGAACUCGGCAAAAUGACCCCGUAACUUAGGGAUAAGGGGUGCCACCAUCAGGUGGCCGCAGAGAAUAGGCCCAAGCGACUGUUUACCAAAAACAUAGGUUUCUGCUAAGUCGCAAGACGAUGUAUAGGAGCUGACGCCUGCCCGGUGCUGGAAGGUUAAGGGGAUCUGUUAGAGCAAUCGAAGCAGUGAACUUAAGCCCCAGUAAACGGCGGCCGUAACUAUAACGGUCCUAAGGUAGCGAAAUUCCUUGUCGGGUAAGUUCCGACCCGCACGAAAGGCGUAACGAUUUGGGCACUGUCUCAACAACAGACUCGGUGAAAUUGUAAUUCCGGUGAAGAUGCCGGAUACCUGCGACAGGACGGAAAGACCCCAUGGAGCUUUACUGUAGCUUGACAUUGGGUCUUGGUACUACAUGUACAGGAUAGGUGGGAGGCUUUGAAACCAGGACGCCAGUUUUGGCGGAGCCAUCCUUGGGAUACCACCCUUGUAGUACUGGGACUCUAACCAUAGGCCAUGAAUCUGGUCUUGGGACACUGUCAGGUGGGCAGUUUGACUGGGGCGGUCGCCUCCCAAAAGAUAACGGAGGCGCUCAAAGGUUCUCUCAGUACGGUCGGAAAUCGUACGUAGAGUGUAAAGGCAAAAGAGAGCUUGAUUGCAAGACAUACAGGUCGAGCAAGGAUGAAAAUCGGACUUAGUGAUCCGGUGGUUCUGCGUGGAAGGGCCAUCGCUCAACGGAUAAAAGCUACCCUGGGGAUAACAGGCUUAUCUCCCCCAAGAGUCCACAUCGACGGGGAGGUUUGGCACCUCGAUGUCGGCUCAUCACAUCCUGGGGCUGUAGUAGGUCCCAAGGGUUGGGCUGUUCGCCCAUUAAAGUGGUACGCGAGCUGGGUUCAGAACGUCGUGAGACAGUUCGGUCCCUAUCCGUCGCAGGCGUAGGAAAUUUGAGAAGACCUGUCCUUAGUACGAGAGGACCGGGAUGGACGUACCUCUGGUGUACCAGUUGUUCUGCCAAGGGCAUGGCUGGGUAGCUAUGUACGGAAUGGAUAAGCGCUGAAAGCAUCUAAGCGCGAAGCCAACUUCAAGAUAAGAUUUCCCACCGCAAGGGUAAGACCCCAGAAAGACUAUCUGGUUGAUAGGUCGAAGGUGUAAGUGCAGCAAUGUAUUUAGCUUAUCGAUACUAAUAGGUCGAGGACUUGACCAAU